UACGUAGGUGGCAAGCGUUGUCCGGAUUUACUGGGCGUAAAGGGCGUGCAGGCGGUUUGUUAAGUUCAGGGUGAAAGCUCCCGGCUCAACUGGGAGAGGUCCUUGGAUACUGGCAGACUUGAGGAGGGUAGAGGAGAGUGGAAUUCCCGGUGUAGUGGUGAUAUGCGUAGAUAUCAGGAGGAACACCGGUGGCGAAGGCGGGUCUCUGGGCCGAUACUGACGCUGAGGAGCGAAAGCGUGGGGAGCGAACAGG
rnacentral:rRNA from 1 species